AUCGAUGAAGAACGCAGCGAAACGCGAUAAGUAAUGUGAAUUGCAGAUUUUCAGUGAAUCAUCGAAUCUUUGAACGCACCUUGCGCCCCUUGGUAUUCCGAGGGGCAUGCCUGUUUGAGUGUCAUUUUAUCAUCAACUCAUUAGUCUUUGAUUAGGCUUUUGGGCUUGGACUUGGGAAUUGCUGGCUUGAUCUUUUUACCCAUUGAACAGUAUCUAAUACUUAAUAGAGGGAAAAAAAGUGUAGUCGGCUGUCCUUAAAUGCAUUAGCGAGUGUUAGUCUACAUGGCACGGCCUCUUGACGUGAUAAUGAUCGUCGUGGGCUGGAAGUGUAGUGUCUGGCUUCUAAAACCCGAUUGCGUGCAUACGGCCCAUAAAGCUGGAAGCGUAGUCAAAAUGACAAGUUUGACCUCAAAUCAGGUAGGACUACCCGCUGAACUUAAGCAUAUCAAUAAGCGGAGGAAAAGAAACUAACAAGGAUUCCCCUAGUAACUGCGAGUGAAGAGGGAAAAGCUCAAAUUUUGAAUCUGGCGGUCAUCUAGGCCGUCCGAAUUGUAAUCUAGAGAAGUGUCUUCCGCGCUGGCCCGUGUACAAGUCUCCUGGAAGGGAGCAUCAUAGAGGGUGUGAAUCCCGUCUUUGACAUGGACUACCAGUGCACUGUGGUGCGCUCUCAAAGAGUCGAGUUGUUUGGGAAUGCAGCUCAAAAUGGGUGGUAAAUGCCAUCUAAAGCUAAAUAUUGGCGAGAGACCGAUAGCGAACACGUACCGUGAGGGAAAGAUGAAAAGAGCUUUGGAAAGAGAGUUAAACAGUACGUGAAAUUGCUGAAAGGGAAACGCUUGAAGUCAGUCACGUUGGCUAGAAAUCAGCCUUGCUUUUGCUUGGUGUACUUUCUGGUUUGACGGGUCAGCAUCGAUUUCUUUGACCAUUGGAUAAAGUCUCUGGGAAUGUGGCAUCUUUGGAUGUGUUAUAGCCCAUUGUCGCAUACAAUGGUUGGGAUCGAGGAACUCAGCAUGCCGCAAGGCCGGGUUUAAACCACGUUCAUGCUUAGGAUGCUGGCAUAAUGGCUUUAAUCGACCCGUCUUGAAACACGG
rnacentral:rRNA from 1 species